UCACGGUUUGCACCGGCAGUCUUGCUAGAGUUCCCGACAUUACUCGCUGGCAACUAACAACAGGGGUUGCGCUCGUUAUAGGACUUAACCUGACACCUCACGGCACGAGCUGACGACAACCAUGCAGCACCUUGAAAGACGUCCGAAGAAAUAUCUGUUUCCAAAUACGUCGUCUCCCAUUUAAGCCUUGGUAAGGUUCCUCGCGUAUCAUCGAAUUAAACCACAUGCUCCACCGCUUGUGCGGGCCCCCGUCAAUUCCUUUGAGUUUCAAACUUGCGUUCGUACUCCCCAGGUGGGAUACUUAUCACUUUCGCUUAGCCACUGAAAUUACUCCCAACAGCUAGUAUCCAUCGUUUACAGCGUGGACUAC
rnacentral:misc_RNA from 1 species